CCAUUUGCCAAUUCCCUUGAGUUGAUCAUGGCUCAGAAUCAACGCUGGCGGCGUGCCUAACACAUGCAAGUCGAACGCGGUUUCCUCGCAAGGGGAGACUGAGUGGCGAACGGGUGAGUAACACGUGGGUGACCUACCUUCGAGUGGGGGAUAACGUCCCGAAAGGGACGCUAAUACCGCAUAACAUCCUGUCCUUGAACGGAUGGAGAUCAAAGCCGGGGAUCGUAAGACCUGGCGCUUGAUGAGGGGCCCGCGUCCGAUUAGCUAGUUGGUGAGGUAACGGCUCACCAAGGCAACGAUCGGUAGCCGGCCUGAGAGGGCGGACGGCCACACUGGGACUGAGACACGGCCCAGACUCCUACGGGAGGCAGCAGUGGGGAAUUGUUCGCAAUGGGCGCAAGCCUGACGACGCAACGCCGCGUGGAGGAUGAAGGUCUUCGGAUUGUAAACUCCUGUUGCCUGGGACGAAUGGCUCCAACCUAAUACGUUGGAGUGUGACGGUACCAGGUGAGGAAGCCCCGGCUAACUCUGUGCCAGCAGCCGCGGUAAUACAGAGGGGGCAAGCGUUGUUCGGAAUUACUGGGCGUAAAGGGCGCGUAGGCGGCCUGUUAAGUCGAACGUGAAAUCCCCGGGCUCAACCCGGGAACUGCGUCCGAUACUGGCAGGCUUGAAUCCGGGAGAGGGAUGCGGAAUUCCAGGUGUAGCGGUGAAAUGCGUAGAUAUCUGGANGAACACCGGUGGCGAAGGCGGCAUCCUGGACCGGCAUUGACGCUGA
rnacentral:rRNA from 1 species